rnacentral:rRNA from 1 species
UGCCAGCAGCCGCGGUAAUACGGAGGGUGCAAGCGUUAUCCGGAUUUAUUGGGUUUAAAGGGUGCGUAGGCGGAAUAAUAAGUCAGUGGUGAAAUCCUGCGGCUCAACCGUAGAACUGCCAUUGAUACUGUUAUUCUUGAAUAUAGUUGGGGUAGGCGGAAUGUGUAAUGUAGCGGUGAAAUGCUUAGAUAUUACACAGAACACCGAUUGCGAAGGCAGCUUGCUAAACUAUGAUUGACGCUGAUGCACGAAAGCUAGGGUAUCAAACGGGAUUAGAUA